rnacentral:rRNA from 1 species
GACAGAGGGGGCAAGCGUUGCUCGGAAUUACUGGGCGUAAAGAGUGUGUAGGCGGUGCUCCCAGUCUGUUGUGAAAUCUCCCGGCUUAACUGGGAGGGUGCAGCGGAAACUAGAGUGCUAGAGGGUGGGAGAGGUAAGCGGAAUUCCUGGUGUAGCGGUGAAAUGCGUAGAUAUCAGGAGGAACACCUGUGGUGUAGACAGCUUACUGGACCACUUCUGACGCUGAGACGCGAAAGCGUGGGGAGCGAACAGG